UACGGGGGGGGGCAAGCGUUGUUCGGAAUUAUUGGGCGUAAAGAGCUCGUAGGCGGCUUGUCACGUCGGGUGUGAAAGCCCGGGGCUUAACCCCGGGUCUGCAUUCGAUACGGGCAGGCUAGAGUGUGGUAGGGGAGAUCGGAAUUCCUGGUGUAGCGGUGAAAUGCGCAGAUAUCAGGAGGAACACCGGUGGCGAAGGCGGAUCUCUGGGCCAUUACUGACGCUGAGGAGCGAAAGCGUGGGGAGCGAACAGG
rnacentral:rRNA from 1 species